GAUGAAGAACGCAGCGAAAUGCGAUAAGUAAUAUGAAUUGCAGAUUUUCGUGAAUCAUCGAAUCUUUGAACGCACAUUGCGCCCUUUGGUAUUCCAAAGGGCAUGCCUGUUUGAGCGUCAUUUCUCUCUCAAAUCUUCGGAUUUGGUUUUGAGUGAUACUCUUAGUCAGACUAGGCGUUUGCUUGAAAUGUAUUGGCAUGAGUGGUACUAGAUAGUGCUAAACUGUUUCAAUGUAUUAGGUUUAUCCAACUUGUUGACCAGUGAAGUAUUUGUUUAUUACACAGGCUCGGCCUUACAACAACAAACAAAGUUUGACCUCAAAUCAGGUAGGACUACCCGCUGAACUUAAGCAUAUCAAUAAGCGGAGGA
rnacentral:misc_RNA from 1 species